AACGUAGGUUCCGAGCGUUAUCCGGAUUUACUGGGCGUAAAGCGCGUUCAGGCGGUUUGGCAAGUCGGGCAUGAAAUCUCUCGGCUCAACCGGGAGAGGUUGUCCGAUACUUCCAGACUUGAGGGCAGUAGAGGGUGGUGGAAUUCCGGGUGUAGUGGUGAAAUGCGUAGAUAUCCGGAGGAACACCAGUGGCGAAAGCGGCCACCUGGACUGCACCUGACGCUGAAACGCGAAAGCUAGGGGAGCGAACGGG
rnacentral:rRNA from 1 species